GUGUGUGUGUGUUAAUGUGUGUGUGAGAGAGUGAGAGAGAGAUGAAUAAGUCAACUUUGAAUAGCUGGAAGAAAGCUACAAAUCCUCACUACUGUUGAGAUCUCUCUCUAUAUAUGGUGAUACUGUUACAAACGGAAAAGAUGCAUAGUUCCUCUCUAUUUCUUCUCCUCUCCUCUAUCUUAAUUAGGGUUGAGGCCGCAGGGUCAUUUUGGAGCCAUAAAAAUAACUUUUCACCAAAAGUUUGAGUCUUGUUGCACCCUUUGUUCGAUGAGUUCUUGUGUUCAUGUUGGUUUGAGAGAUUGAAGCUGCCAGCAUGAUCUGGAAGUGCCAAACCGUGUCUCCUUUUUGUGCUUGUGCUAUAUAUAUAGAUAAUUUAUAGGCUAGAUAUAUAUAUGUUCAGUUGUCUUUUUGUGGGUUUUUAGUGUUGUGUUAAUAUACAUGUGUUUAGGGGUAGGGUAAGGGGAGGAUAAUUACCAGGUCAUCCUUGCAGCUUCAAUCACUCAUGCCCAACAAUUUUUCAUACAGAGGAAACAUGAAGAAUUUCCUUCAACACUGUGUUGUCUUUUUCAUGUUCUUGUUAAUUAGCAGUGGCCAAUUACAAAUCUACACAAGUUUAUUUUAGUAGGCAUCUGGUGAUCACAGUGGCCUGUUUGUUCCAUUCAUAUGGUGACAAAAAUCACAUUUCUAGAGUGAACUUUCUGUAAGUGGGAAAACAUCUGGAGUGAGUUCGGAACAAGUCUUUAUAGCCAUAGUCUACACUUUUCCGCAUGGAAUUCAAGGUUUAGCAUACCCUCUCUCAGAUCAUUGUUUGAAUCUAUUCUUCAUUCUGAUUUACAUGGAUGUACAAAUCGGUGAAGCAUCACAACAACCCAACAAGGAUGCUACGCAAAGGCUGAAGAAACUGAUGGUCGGUCUGCGAUCGGAGUUCGGAGGGCAUGAGUCUGCAAUAGGUAUGUGGACGAUUGUGAUGGAAGACGAUGGUGAUUGGUGGCGGUAUUGGAGGUUGAAGAUGACAGACGGUUUCCAAAUCGCAUGGAGGUUGGAAGCCAUCUUGCUUGGAAGCCAACGAUUGAAGGGACGGGGUGAGAGACACACACAACAACAAAAAAUAGCUCUGUUCAUGACUCGAAGGGGAAGAGACCACCGGAACCCCUAUAUCUCGAUUUUUAAUUUCUUUUGGGCCCUACACACAGGAUACAUAUUGCCUCUAUUUUCAACCAAUUUAGCACAACACAUAACCAUUUGAAGAAAACUCUGGUCUUCUACCGAGGCAAAGCCCCAAAACGGGUCUAAAACCAAUUGGAUCAUGCAUGAGUACAAGCUUGCAAAUUCUAUUAAGAAUUGCAUGAUUUUAGGUUGUUUUUGAAGAAAAGUGGAAGAAAAAUUGGUGAGAACGAUGUUAGAUGAAGGUGAUCUCUCAUGGCAGUUGAAGGUGAAGAGAGCAGUAAAUAUAUACACAGGGAAUUUAAGAAUUUGUUGCUGAGUAUCAGUACCCUUUUUUUUAAACUCAGGAAGCUAGUCAAAGUCUGUAAUCGGAAGUUUUUUUACAUUGUGUUCGUGAACUUGAAUCUAAACAUGAUGACAGGUAGAGAAGAAUGAGAGAAAGGUUUAUGAGAUGGCAAGUUUCAUUAAA